rnacentral:tRNA from 1 species
UGCGGGGUCGUCUAGCGGCAGGACAUCAGCCUUUGGAGCUGAGUACGAAGGUUCGAAUCCUUCCCCCGCAG